ensembl:lncRNA
GCACUGCUCACCUGAUCUUUGUCCUGCACCCCGACAGGACAAAGCAGGGAGCCCAUGUGAGGGAUGCAGGUUUCCAGCAGCCAACAGUGGCUUUCAGGCUGAGAGUGGGUCAGUACCCAUAGAAGGAGGCCUCUGUGCCCUGGACACCCACGUCACCUCACUCUCCUCCUAAACAACAACAACAGUGAAGAGACCAGAGCCUCGAUGUCUCUUCUCCCCUCUGAAGCCCUCCUCAGGCACCUCAGAGCAGCAGCUGAGUGGUGUGGUGACAGCAGAGCAGGACUAUUGUCUGACCUGUGAUAGACAGAGACAUGCCCACAAAGAAGCCCUCAGGCAAGCCUGGAUUGACAGAAUGACCAUGCAGUGACUGAGGGACCUAAUUCAGCUGAGUAAAGAUGAAGCAGAACGCAUCCAGA